UAGGGAAUCUUCGGCAAUGGACGAAAGUCUGACCGAGCAACGCCGCGUGAGUGAAGAAGGUUUUCGGAUCGUAAAACUCUGUUGUUAGAGAAGAACAAGGACGUUAGUAACUGAACGUCCCCUGACGGUAUCUAACCAGAAAGCCACGGCUAACUACGUGCCAGCAGCCGCGGUAAUACGUAGGUGGCAAGCGUUGUCCGGAUUUAUUGGGCGUAAAGCGCACGCAGGCGGUUGAUUGAGUCAGAUGUGAAAUCCCCGGCCUUAACCCGGGAAUUGCAUCUGAUACUGGUCAGCUAGAGUCUUGUAGAGGGGGGUAGAAUUCCAUGUGUAGCGGUGAAAUGCGUAGAGAUGUGGAGGAAUACCGGUGGCGAAGGCGGCCCCCUGGACAAAGACUGACGCUCAGGUGCGAAAGCGUGGGGAGCAAACAGG
rnacentral:rRNA from 1 species